rnacentral:tRNA from 1 species
GCCCGCCUAGCUCAAUCGGAUAGAGCGUCAGACUCUUAUGUUUGCAGGCUGGGUAUCUGAAGGCUGCGAGUUCGACCCUCGCGGUGGGCU